rnacentral:lncRNA from 1 species
AUGAUGGUUACAGCCCAGUCCCUUUGUCCAGAGCUGUGGUGGUGCCACAUUGCUGUGGUCCCCUUGCACCAGUCACCACCACUUCUGCAGGGAUGGAUCCUGGUGCCUGUGCUGCAUCAGCCAGGAGAGGAGAAGGACAGACCCCUGCUGUCACCAAGGACACCCCAAAUCUCUCCUGAGCCUCAUCCACAAAGGUUCCAUAAUGUACAGUUCCUGAUGGCAGGACACUUCUGCUAUUGUUUUGAGUAUUCUAAAAUGUUAUCAGCCAAUAAUUGCUAUCACAACUUUUAAUUCUGUGUUUCUGUUUCAAAUUUUCCUCAGUUCAAUCAGAACCAAAAGUUAAUGCCCAUUGGCUAAUGUCCAGUGCAUGCCUCCACAGAACAACUGCUGCCUUUAACUGGUGGAGAGAUCAAGGCUUGAACUGACAAAAGACAUCUGUAUUUUGGAAAACAAAUUAAUGUUUAUGUUUUAAUUUAUAAGUUCCUGGCUCUUUUAUGGUUCCUGUUUUUCAAGUAAUGUCUCUUUGGAUCCCUAGCUGAUGGAGAGUCAAAAUGGAAAAGGCCCAUGAGAGAAUUAUCACAAUAGAACAUCUGGUCUGCAUUGGAAAAAGCUGAGAAAGAUAUUCAACAUCUCUGAGACUGAGGCAGCCAUGAGGCAGUUUGAAAGUCAGUCCAUGAAAAAUUGUGCAGGUUGAAGCCACCUGGGCCAAUCUAGUGUUGUUUUGGGAAGAACUACUCUGCUCAUGAGCAUCUGAAUUUUAAUUUCCCUUAAGCAUGGAUGUGUGAGAGCUGGGAGUGGUAUGAAAGGUGUUUGCUUUCCAUAAUGUUAAUUUGAGUCCCAGCAUUGUCCUAAUUAUAUUGUGGGUUUUUGCCAGUCUCCCAGAUUUCUUUUGAGCAUGUAGGCUGGAGUCAAAAGGCUUUCCCAGGGCUUUUGGCAUAGCUUUACAGGAAAGUGGAUGGAAAGGACUUUGUAUAUUUUUGGAAGAAUAUUUUGCAUCCUGCUUUAAACUAUUCCAGAAGGUAAAAGGACAUUAGCUAGACUGUGUGUUGGCUCAUGUACUGCUAUGUCACUAAUGAGAAGGAGUUUUUUUCCUGUUUUCUGCAGUCACAGACUGUAAGAAAUGCAAAGAAAUCAUGGGCCAGCAAGGGCAGUAAAGGUACCCCUGGAUUCAGAGGGAACAAACUCCUUCUACCACAUGGAACUUUGGUCCUUUAAGUCAUUAUAGUUCAUG